rnacentral:lncRNA from 1 species
AGAAGCGAGGCAGCCGUGAGGCGGAGGACAGGCUGGGGGAUCCCAAAGGGUGCGCUCCAGCCCCCAACCCAGGCACUGGGACUCUGGUGGCACCCUGGGUGGCAGGCAAGCCUUGAAAUCAAGUGCACGAGCCUUGGAAAGGAGGACCGGGAGAGUUAUGGCAUUUAUGAAUGAAGAAGAGAAAGAGAAUCACUCGGAUGGGAAAAGUUAACUGGAUUGUUCCCACCUGCAUGGAUCACCGGAAGCAACUUAGCCGUCUCGCCUUGCGGCCUGGAACCCCUGGCAAUUUCCGGAGCACCGGCAAGAGACUUUUGCACAGUUUCUGCUUGGAGUCUACCGACUGUCUGUCUCAGAGGUCUGGACAGCUGCUUGUUACAUUUGGCUCACGCUAGCUUAAAAAAGGAAUUUAUGGACCUUACUGCAGAACGUCCCAAUUCUUCAGGCCAAGGUAAAUGCAAGUUGGGGUGGUAGUGAAGUUGCAAACUGCCCCUAAGAAAAAAGGUUAACAAGAUAUUGUUCCUUCCACCCCCGGCCUCCCGUUGGUUCCCCCACCCCAAGAGCCUUCCCACCAGGCUUCAGGGUGACAAACGCUUGGAUUUGAUGGGGCUGAGACUUGCUUGUGCCUUUGUUGAUGGCAGGGCACUUUUAUUGAAACUUGUUGAAAGGAGCUAGCUUCGAAGGCUCCUCCAAGAUUCUACACCACAGGGGGAAGCAGGACUUUGAUUUAAGAUACUCACAUCUGUCAACCACAGGCAUUCAUUCAGUUUUCUCUUUCAUUUGGGGAAGGAAGGGAGAAAAUGAAUCAGAGGCUGAUUUUUUUUUUUCUGGCCUGUUUUCCCCAAGCUCCAGGAAAUUAAGAAACAUGCCAUUAGUUUUAGCAAACAAUUUGAACAAAGUAAAACCAGAUCUCCCACCAAAGGCCGAGGACCAUGAGGGGUCUGAGUGCCCCUGGCCCUGUUUGUGGACUCUGCGGGUCGUGGAGGAGCCAUGAAGUGGGAAGAGAGCUUGGGUGAUACAGGAUGGUGUGCGUGACAGUCCUCCCUGUGUCUUCUUUGCUACCAUAUUUAUCAUAGCUUAGAUGUGUGUGGCCUGGUGGCACCAAAGGUGAACAGAAAGCAUUUUUGGGGCGCCAUGGCCCAGACCUCAGCCUGAACGUUGUGGGAAGCCAGUGGGUGUCUGCAUGUGUUGGCGAGAACCAGUGGGCAUCUCCUUGGAAGCCAGUCCCCAAGGUGGCUCUAGAUGGCUUACUCCUGCAUCUUGCCAAAUCCACAGGGUCCAGCUGUGUCUCCAGGGCUGCGUGGCUUAUUGAAAAAGAGAGUGUAUGGUGGAUUUCAAUAUCUAUAUUCUACAAAAAAUGUAAAAGGGGCAGGGGACGGGAACAAAGAAACCAGUGCUGGUGAUCCUGCCCCCACAGUAAGGUCUGCUUUAGUGUGGACAUGGGACAGGGGCCAGCCCCUGCUGCUCCCUGGGGGAACACAGGUCCGUGGGGGUGGCUCACCGUCAUGUAUGUGAUUUUGAUGUUUGUACAUUUGUUGUACCACAUGAACCAGUCUUGGACGGCUGUUCUGAGUAAAUGGGAUGAUGUGGGUAAAGCCCCCAAGACCAGAGCCUGGCACAGGGCCGUGCUGGAUAAUGCUGACUCAUGGUGAUGAGGGGAAGGAGGAGGCAGGAUGCCAUGGGUGAGGAGUCCAGGCUCCAGUGCUGCUGAACCACCAUCCACCAGUAUGAUCUCAGCAAGCCUCUCUCCACCUGGACCCAGAUGAUUCACCCGUUAAACAUCCCAGGCACAUUGAAGGGAGAUGAACAGCGUCCAGCAUGGUCCUCAGCUGUGAGAAGCCAUACACUCGCCUUUUCCACCCUACAACUUUCCGUCAUCUGGGGUGCAGGUUUCUUUCCUCUCUUUUUACUUAUUACAAGGUAAAAUACAGUCUUAUUACAGAAAACUAGAAACCAGAAAAGCCCAUCACACAGUCAUUCAUUCAACAAAUGCGUAUUGGGAAGGGUGGGGAUGAGCCCCUGGUGGAAAUGGGGUGAAGCUGUGGACUUUCUCUGGGUGCGAUGAAGGCUGACGGAGGGCUUUGAGCAUCCUCAAGAUUCAGAAGUCUGUUCUCAGUCAUCAGCAGCUGUACCAGGAGAGGAAGAACCUCUGAAGUGUUCUGGCUCCAAAAGCUAGUGAAAGUGCAGAUUUCCUGAGAAGGAGUGAAGCUUAGGGCCCUGCCAGGCAGUGAUGCUUUCUCAACUUUGGGGGCAGUAAAAUGUACAGACUCUGGGGAAGGAGACCAGGAAGGAGGCUGCAAAGUGUGCAUGCUCUGGGAAGGGGGCAGGGAAGGCUGGCAAAAAGCUGUUGGGGACCCAGCCAGGCUGCUUCCCUUGGAGGCCCAGCCUGAGAUGUGUUUCCCACCAUAUAUGGCAGAAAUGAUUUCAGGUGCUAUGUAGAUAAGCCACGAACUAUCAUUGAAUCUUUUCUUGGUUGUAUUGUGAAAGAAAAAGUCUCUGUUGGGUGCUGGUGUAUCUUCGACACCACUUAACACUUGUCAAGCUCUCCUUUACUGAGGUAAAGCAGUCCUCAGGCUCAGAGCUUGUGACCAGGGAGCGGUAUCUAGCCAAAAUUUUAUUUCAAUGCUUUGUUUUCAUUGUCUUUAAAACAAAAGAUGGUUAUCUUCCAUUUGCCAUG